rnacentral:tRNA from 16 species
GCACCUGUAGCUCAGCUGGAUAGAGCACGGGCCUCCGACGCCCGGUGUCGCAAGUUCGAAUCUUGUCAGGUGCA